AUAGGUGGCAGCAAGAGGCCGCUUUAUUUGAGUAAAGCAUUGAACGAUUCAUUCAGCCAAAGAAGCCAAUAGGAUGAACGGACAGUUGAAUCAAUCCCUGAAUCAUCGACUCACCCGAGUCUUCUUGGCGAAGGCCUGAAUCGUUCGUGCAGGGAAACGUCGCUGUGUAUUAUUCAGAGAUGGCCAACUGUUCUGCUGUUUAUUUUAUUAUACUUAUCGCAAUGAUUUUACUACUACUAUCAAUAAAAUUAAUAUUAGUAAUGAUAAUAUUGCCGGAAGUUGUACAGCGCAUGCGUCACGUGUUCAUCAUCAGCAUCCAUGACAACCGUCCUGUGGGUGUUGUUUGAAUCUCGCUGUGUCGAUUGGCAUCUGAUCUCUGCGUCCUCCGUGACAAUUUUUCCAGAUUAUCGAUAUUAUUGAUCGUUGGAUACGUCGAUUGAUCGCCUGCUGUUCCCAUCACUCAGGUUUGACCCUUUUUAUUACGCUGUGCUUUGUGUUUGUGUUCAGUAUGUCUUGUGUUCACUACAGGUUCCAGAGUCGACUCACCUACGACUCGCUCCAGUUUGAAGGCCUCAACAUCAGCGCGGGGGAGCUGAAGCGGCAGAUCAUGAGGAGCAAGAGGCUGAAGUUCUGCCAGCUGAAGAUCAGCAACGCCCAGACUGAUGAAGAAUACACAGAUGAUGCUCUCAUCCCUAAAAACACGUCGGUCAUCAUCAGACGGAUCCCUGCGGCGGGACUGAAGUCCUCAAACAGAAGAUUUGUUGGACAUCAAGCUGGACGCUGGCGUGAACCUUCACCUAGAGCUGAUCCUUCACUCCUCUCACUGGAGCAGUUGUUGAAGGUAUUGAACAAAUGAAUAGCACAAUAGCAAUGUAAAGCACACAAUAUACGCACACGCACUCAGCUUCUUAGGGAGAUUUGAGAUUGUUUGAAGGGUUGAGGGUGAAAAAGAUUCAAAUGUGCAAAUGCCUGUGAAACAGACUGAGAAUCUGGCUGAGGCAAAGGCGUCAGAGGAGGACAAGCUGAAAGCGGUGAUGUACCAGUCCAGCCUGUGCUACUACUCCAGCAGGUGAGCGUUCAGACACUGACAGGUUUGCUUUGUGAGAGAUGUCUGAGCUGAUUCUCAUGGUUCUGAUGUUCACUAGUGAGGCCAUGAGGCUGCUUGGGAUCCCGGGACACCACAUUAGGCACUGCCCCACUAAUGUGGUAACUGGGUUUUCCAAGCUCACGGUUGCUGUGAACUUGAGCUCUUGUCCUCAUCAGUCAGAUUGUUUGCUCAGAGUUUGACUGUCACUCCUCAAUUCACAGGGCAGCCGCUCCGCGCCGCACAAGCGCAUCCGGAAGAGCACAGGGAUUCCCCGCAGCUUCCUGUUGGAGGUGGACGACCCAGACCGAAAGGGAGUCAUGAUAGACGGCAGCGGCCGAUACGUCAUUCCCAUCAUAGACGCUGAGGCCUAUGCUGCUGAGAAGAGAAAGAGGCCGUCCUUC